AUAUUGGUCAAUAGCCUAACGGCUGAACCAGCAACUUGGAGGAAUGUAUGGCAAUAGCUGGUUGCAUUAACUAAAAGUUAGUGUAAGAUCGACUCUGUCGAAUAAAAUUCUAGAUAGAGUUUUGAUAAUGACAUUAUCUAUCUAUGUGUCUUGACCAAAUUACGUGCCAGCAGUCGCGGUAAUACGUAAAAGACUAGUGUUAUUCAUCUUUAAUAGGUUUAAAGGGUACUUAGACGGUAAAUCAAGCCCCAAUAGGGAACUAAUAUACUAGAGUUUGAUGUAAGGAAGCAUGAAAGUACUGUUGGUGUAGAGAUAAAAUUCUAUCAUACCAAAUAUGGCACAGGUUUAGGCGAAAGCAUCUUCUUAUGUAAUAACUGACGUUGAAGGACGAAGGCUUUGUGUCUCGAACAGGAUUAGAUACCCCAGUAGUCUAAGCAGACAAUGAUGAAUGUCAUAGAUUAGAUUUAAUUUAUUCUAUAAAUGAAAGUGUAAGCAUUCCACCUCAAGAGUAAUUUGGCAACAUUGGAACUGAAAUCAUUAGACCGUAUCUGAAACCAGUAGUGAAGUAUGUUGUUUAAUUAGAAGGUACGCAAAAAACCUUACCACAAUUUGAAUUAGUAAUAUGUUUUCACAAGCGCUGCACGGCUGUCUACAGUUAAUGUCGUGAGAUUUUGGUUAGUUCCAUUAAAUUAACGCAAACCCUUACUUUAUUUUUAAUAUAAAGUAGUUCACCGCCAAAUUGGAUAUGAUAAAAGGAACAAGACAAGUCAUCAUGGCCUUAAUAUUGUGGGCU
rnacentral:rRNA from 1 species